GUGAAUUGCAGAAUCCCGCGAACCAUCAAUUCUUUGAACGCAAGUUGCGCCCGAAGCCAUUUGGCCGAGGGCACGCCUGCCUGGGUGUCGUGA
rnacentral:rRNA from 1 species